rnacentral:rRNA from 1 species
CAGCCGCCGCGGGAAUACAGAGGGUGCGAGCGUUAAUCGGAUUUACUGGGCGUAAAGCGUGCGUAGGCGGCUUCUUAAGUCGGAUGUGAAAUCCCUGAGCUUAACUUAGGAAUUGCAUUCGAUACUGGGAAGCUAGAGUAUGGGAGAGGAUGGUAGAAUUCCAGGUGUAGCGGUGAAAUGCGUAGAGAUCUGGAGGAAUACCGAUGGCGAAAGCAGCCAUCUGGCCUAAUACUGACGCUGAGGUACGAAAGCAUGGGGAGCAAACAGGAUUAGAUACCCCCGUAGUCCCUGUCUCUUAUAC